AGUGAACGCUGGCGGUAGGCCUAACACAUGCAAGUCGAACGGCAGCACAGUAAGAGCUUGCUCUUACGGGUGGCGGGUGGCGGACGGGUGAGGAAUACAUCGGAAUCUACUUUUUCGUGGGGGAUAACGUAGGGAAACUUACGCUAAUACCGCAUACGACCUACGGGUGAAAGCAGGGGAUCUUCGGACCUUGCGCGAUUGAAUGAGCCGAUGUCGGAUUAGCUAGUUGGCGGGGUAAAGGCCCACCAAGGCGACGAUCCGUAGCUGGUCUGAGAGGAUGAUCAGCCACACUGGAACUGAGACACGGUCCAGACUCCUACGGGAGGCAGCAGUGGGGAAUAUUGGACAAUGGGCGCAAGCCUGAUCCAGCCAUACCGCGUGGGUGAAGAAGGCCUUCGGGUUGUAAAGCCCUUUUGUUGGGAAAGAAAAGCAGAAGGUUAAUACCCCGCUGUUCUGACGGUACCCAAAGAAUAAGCACCGGCUAACUUCGUG
rnacentral:rRNA from 1 species